rnacentral:rRNA from 1 species
CGCCCAUACCGGGCCCGGUGAUGCUAACCGUCCGAGCCGGCCCACCGCACCUUCGGGUGCACCGGGCCGGGGAGCACGGGACCCGAACCGGUAGUAGGUAAGCGUAUUAACA